rnacentral:rRNA from 1 species
AUUGAACGCUGGCGGCGGGCCUAACACAUGCAAGUCGAACGGUAACAGGAAGAAUCUUGCUUCUUUGCUGACGGGGGGCGGGCGGGUGAGUAAUGUCUGGGAAACUGCCUGAUGGAGGGGGAUAACUACUGAAAACGGUAGCUAAUACCGCAUAACGUCUCAAGACCAAAGAGGGGGACCAUCUGGCCUCUUGCCAUCGGAUGUUCCCAGAUGGGAUGAGCUAGUAGGUGGGGUAACGGCUCACCUAGGCGACGAUCCCUAGCUGCUCUGAGAGGAUGACCAGCCACACUGGAACUGAGACACGGUCCAGACUCCUACGGGAGGCAGCAGUGGGGAAUAUUGCACAAUGGGCGGAAGCCUGAUGCAGCCAUGCCGCGUGUAUGAAGAAGGCCUUCGGGUUGUAAAGUACUUUCAGCGGGGAGGAAGGGAGUACAGUUAAUACCUUUGCUCAUUGACGUUACCCGCAGAAGAAGCACCGGCUAACUACGUG